rnacentral:rRNA from 1 species
UACGAAGGGAGCUAGCGUUGCUCGGAAUCACUGGGCGUAAAGCGCACGUAGGCGGCUUCUUAAGUCAGGGGUGAAAUCCUGGAGCUCAACUCCAGAACUGCCUUUGAUACUGAGGAGCUUGAGUCCGGGAGAGGUGAGUGGAACUGCGAGUGUAGAGGUGAAAUUCGUAGAUAUUCGCAAGAACACCAGUGGCGAAGGCGGCUCACUGGCCCGGUACUGACGCUGAGGUGCGAAAGCGUGGGGAGCAAACAGG